ensembl:snRNA LOC120100431 U2 spliceosomal RNA
AUCGCUUCUCGGCCUUUUGGCUAAGAUCAAGUGUAGCGUGGCUUUUCUUUUUUUUCUUUUUUUUUUUUUCUUUUCUUUUUUUCGGAGCUGGGGACAGAACCCAGGGCCUUGCGCUUGCUAGGCAAGCGCUCUACCACUG